UGAUAAAUGAUUUUAUUAUGAUUAUUUUUAUAUUACAAUAUAUAAUUCAAACAGUAAUAAAUGGUAAAAAUAAUUGUUACUGGAAAUUCUUAAUUCUAUUACUUGAGACUUAUCACAAUAUAUAGAUUGAUUUUGCUGUAACUUACAAGGAAUUAAUUAACUAUAAUAAACUUGAGUCUGCAUUGAUUACAUGGCAUCUCUAGACAGUAAAACUGUGAUGUUGAACAUUUCUUUACCAGGGGAAUUUAUCUAAAACUGUCAUAGUAAUGGUACAUAUUUUACUGCACCAGAAGCUGUCAUAUUGAAACUUGUUUUUCUACAGAUGCAUUACUCUGCAAUGUUAAAAAUUAGGACAAAUUUCACAAAAAUUCGAAAGAGAAAAAAUACUCUUCAGUCAUGAACAUUUCAGUAAAUAACUUACAAACAAUUCUUGCAGUAUGAUUUUUUUGAAACAGCAACUGCAAUUUUUGAAAACAGGGACAUACAAUAGUGACUUAAAAAUGGUGUUAGCUGCCAUGUUAAAACUUUAUGAGGUUACUACAAAAUGGUAAAAAAACUGGCAAAGCAAGUAAGUAUCAUACUUUUUUUUAAACAGGGUGGUUAUACACAGCAUUCAGUCUAUUACUUUCAUAACUUCCAGGAGAGAUCAAAGAAUUUGAAACAAGAGUGCACACACUGAAAAGUCUUUCCUGCUUUACUCAUUAUUUUUAGUGCAAUUUUGCCUCUGAUCCUUUUGAGAGUUUCAAUCAUGUUUAAUACCAAGCUAGUCAUAAGACUUGAAACAAAAACAAUAUAUUUAGUAUUAUCUUUGUCAGUACUAUUUCACCAAUAUAAAGACUAAAAGUUACAUAAGAAAAAAGAAUAAAAAUCUUUAAAACAAUCAUACAAAAAUGUCUAUUAAUUUUAUAGAUAUAAAGAUGAUCAAAAUGAGGAAGACAUAUACCAACAGAUAAUUUAUUGAAAACCUAUGUUUUUUUUGGGGGGGGGGGGCUGAAUAUAAAUUUUGAAUGUUUCCAGAAGGAAUAAAUCGCCGAGCGCAGCUGGAUACAACCACAGAGGUCCAACCCUGAACAGUUGGGGCAAAAAUGGACACAAUAUUCGCGCUUGAUACAGGUCUGAAUUUGGAUUGUAAUUCAAUAUUUGACACAUAAUAGGUUUCUGACACAGAAUAACUGUAGUCAAAGAAAUCAGAAUUGGUUAUAUGAUUUGAAUUUAUCCAAAAAAAAUCUUUCCUUCAGUUAUGGUCAUAAUUUCAAUUCAAAUUUCCAAUGGAGUUUGCAACCAUAAUAACCAUUUAAAUACAUCUAUAAAAGUCUUGAAAUAGAAAAUGACAUACAUAAUCAUAGCUAAAAUUAAUUUACCUUCAAUCAGCAAUUUUAACUUAUUAAAAUAGUAUAUUCUAAAAAUGAAUUGACAGCUAAUCACCUCAAAACAAUACAAAAAUUCUUUAUACAUAAUUUAACAGCAGUGUAAGGGAGGUAAUUCAAAAUUCUUCGGAAUGACGACGUGAUACCAUUAUACGACCACAAAUUUUUUUGUGGUCGUAUAAAAAUGCAUACAAAAUUAAGUAAAAACUCAUUCAAGGUUUCAAAUAAAAUCAUCUUUCAAAAGCUAAAAAGCAAUAGACGGAAAAACAAACAGACAAUGGACCCAAAGUGAUGACAGAUCUUACAUGGCCUUUCAGGCCUGCUGUAAUACAAUAUUAUUUCUUUAGCAUAUAUAGAUCACUGUUUUUUCUUCUUUAGAAAGUAUGGUUAUUACGUGUCGUAAUAAUUAGUUCUAUUAACAGAUUAA
rnacentral:lncRNA from 1 species